AUUUUAACUCUUCCUUUGUCUUUUCAAAGAUUUAGAGACUUUUUUUGGGGGUUUAGCUCAGUUGGUUUAGAGCAUCGGCUUUGCAAGCCGGGGGUCAAGGGUUCGAGUCCCUUAACCUCCAUUUGUUUAUUGUAAAAAUGAAUGGAGGUUAUAAUUUUUAAAAUUAGUUUAUGUCCUACUAAUUGAAGGUUAAUGUUUUAAUUUAGAAAAGUCCAAAAUUUAGGUUCCUAGAUAAGAUAAUUUUUUAGUCAUGAAUAUCUUAUUUAUGAGUUAGCUAGUAUAUCAAGUAAAGGUGUUAUUCAUUUUAACUGAUUUAUUUUUGAAUUAUUUUAAGUUCUCGUUACUUUAUAAAAGGUAAUUUUUACUUCAUAUAAAUUUAAGAUGUUUGAUAUUCUUAUCUGUUUUGACUGACUAAAUAUAAUUUAUAGUUUAAUAUUUCAGGCUAUAGUUUUAUAUUAUUUAUUUUUUAAUGGCCUGAGUAGUAUUUAUCAUCAAUUUAAAUAAAUCUUAUAUUGUAUACGUGAGUUUGACUCAUUAUAGAAGACUUGAUUUUUAUUGUUUUUGAUUAAGAUUAUUAGAUACUUAAGAGUAUUAAGUUUUAUCAAUUGGGACCAGGAGGAGUUGAACC
rnacentral:misc_RNA from 1 species